rnacentral:rRNA from 1 species
GACGAACGCUGGCGGCGUGCUUAACACAUGCAAGUCGAACGGAAAGGCCCUGCUUUUGUGGGGUGCUCGAGUGGCGAACGGGUGAGUAACACGUGAGUAACCUGCCCUUGACUUUGGGAUAACUUCAGGAAACUGGGGCUAAUACCGGAUAGGAGCUCCUGCUGCAUGGUGGGGGUUGGAAAGUUUCGGCGGUUGGGGAUGGACUCGCGGCUUAUCAGCUUGUUGGUGGGGUAGUGGCUUACCAAGGCUUUGACGGGUAGCCGGCCUGAGAGGGUGACCGGGCGCAUUGGGUCUGGGAGACGGGCCAGACGCCUACGGGAGACAGCAGUCGGGAGUAUUGCACAGUGGGCGGAAGCCUGAUGCAGCAACGCCGCGUGCGGGAUGACGGCCUUCGGGUUGUAAACCGCUUUCGCCUGUGACGAAGCGUGAGUGACGGUAAUGGGUAAAGAAGCACCGGCUAACUACGUG